GCCCGGCUGGCUCAGAUGGUAGAGCAUGGGACUUUUAAUCCUAGGGUCGUGGGUUCGAGUCCCACGUCGGGUG
rfam:Anopheles sinensis unplaced genomic scaffold AS2_scf7180000696056, whole genome shotgun sequence.